GGUAUGGCACCUGCACCACAGCAACAGG
rnacentral:scRNA from 1 species